AUCACACUUUUAAACCAGAUUCUUUUAAAUCACGUUUUACUGUAUUCACUGUCAUCUGACCUGCAUGAAUGUUUUCAUUGUGAAUGUUUGUUGUCAUUAAAUCACCACGAUCUAAAGAAGAGAGAUUGCAGCAAAGACAAAGGCAACGAGAGCAGAAAAAACUACAGGAUGUGGCUGAAGUCCCCCUGAAAAUGUUUAGGCUUUCAGAAUCUGCCACUGAAGCAUCAGGUAUUGUUCCAGCCAGCAUUGUCUCACACAUAUCCAUCAAGGUUGUUGAGGUUCCAUGUCACAGAGCAGUCAUUAUUUCUCUGUGUACUUAAAAUCAACCACUUAAAUCUUGCAUUUUCAUUGUGCCUGUAUACACCACAAUCUGUUUCCUUUCUAGAUGAGGCUGAGAACAGGACUGGGAACAGGAAACGGGGUAUAUUGCCUGAGAUGGGUAGUCUCAUUUCAGUGUUUUCUGCAAUCUCCGAGCCUUUACUUAAAUAACUGUUUUCUUUAUUUUUGUUUAGGAGAAUCCUUUGGUCAGGGAUGCAAUGGCGGCAGCCCGGUGGUGUGGGACCAGAACUUUCAAGCGAAAAAUUUCCCUUCCCCAAGUUGUUACCAUGGCCAAGGAGCAACGCGUGAGGGCAGUGGAACUCCUGUGUGUCUGUGAUGGCCAGGAAGAAGAGGAGACCGCUGAUCUCAGAGAACCGUUCCUUUUUCUUUUUAGUCUGCAGGAAGACUAUGAGACAUUCUGUCAAGAAAUCAUUGACAGGAGAAACAUGAAGGUGUUUUGUGCUUUUGACAGAAAAGAAUAAAGUUGUGUUCAACGGUG